AUUUACAUAGUUUAUAAAAAACACUACAUUUUCAUUGUAAAGAUAGAUCCAUCUUGUAAAUA
rnacentral:tRNA from 1 species